rnacentral:rRNA from 1 species
AAACCAACAGGGAUUGCCCCAGUAGCGGCGAGUGAAGCGGCAAGAGCUCAGAUUUGGAAUCGUGUUUCGGCACGAGUUGUAAAUUGCAGGUGGAGUCUUUGUGGAAGCGUGUGUCCAAGUCCCUUGGAACAGGGCGCCAUUGAGGGUGAGAGCCCCGUGGGAUGCGCGCGGAAGCAGUAAGGCCCUUCUGACGAGUCGAGUUGUUUGGGAAUGCAGCUCUAAGCGGGUGGUAAAUUCCAUCUAAGGCUAAAUACUGGCGAGAGACCGAUAGCGAACAAGUACUGUGAAGGAAAGAUGAAAAGCACUUUGAAAAGAGAGUGAAACAGCACGUGAAAUUGUUGAAAGGGAAGGGUAUUGGGCCCGACAUGGGGAUUGCGCAUCUCUGCUCCUUGUGGGCGGGGCGCUGUGCUUUUCCUGGGCCAGCAUCGGUUUUUGCCGCAGGAGAAGGGGUACUGGAAUGUGGCUCCUCGGAGUGUUAUAGCCAGUGCCAGAUGCUGCGUGCGGGGACCGAGGGCUGCGACAUCUGUCUCGGAUGCUGGCACAACGGCGCAAUACCGCCCGUCUUGAAACACGGACCA